UACAGAGGUCUCAAGCGUUGUCCGGAUUUAUUGGGCGUAAAGAGCGUGUAGGCGGCCUUACAGGUCAGCUGUGAAAACUCGAGGCUCAACCUCGAGACGUCGGUUGAAACCGUAAGGCUAGAGUCCGGAAGAGGAGAAUGGAAUUCCUGGUGUAGCGGUGAAAUGCGCAGAUAUCAGGAAGAACACCCGUGGCGAAGGCGGUUCUCUGGAACGCAACUGACGCUGAGACGCGAAAGCGUGGGGAGCGAACAGG
rnacentral:rRNA from 1 species